CCCCUUCUGGAGUUUGGCAGAGGGGGGUGGAAUUCCACGUGUAGCAGUGAAAUGCGUAGAGAUGUGGAGGAACACCAAUGGCGAAGGCAGCCCCCUGGGUCGAUACUGACGCUCAUGCACGAAAGCGUGGGUAGCAAUCAGGAUUAGAUACCCUGGUAGUCCACGCCCUAAACGAUGUCAACUAGGUGUUGGGAGGGUAAAACCUUUUAGUGCCGUAGCUAACG
rnacentral:rRNA from 1 species